CAGUCGCCGCGGGAAUACGUAGGGUGCGAGCGUUAAUCGGAAUUACUGGGCGUAAAGGGCGCGUAGGCGGUCUGGCAAGUUUCGUGUGAAAUCUUCGGGCUCAACUCGAAGUCUGCACGGAAAACUGCCGGGCUUGAGUAUGGGAGAGGUGAGUGGAAUUUCCGGUGUAGCGGUGAAAUGCGUAGAUAUCGGAAGGAACACCUGUGGCGAAAGCGGCUCACUGGACCAUUACUGACGCUGAGGCGCGAAAGCUAGGGGAGCAAACAGGAUUAGAUACCCCCGUAGUCCCUGUCUCUUAUAA
rnacentral:rRNA from 1 species